rnacentral:rRNA from 1 species
UACGAAGGGGAGCUAGCGUUGUUCGGAAUUACUGGGCGUAAAGCGCGCGCAGGCGGUCUUCCAAGUCAGUGGUGAAAGCCCGGAGCUCAACUCCGGAACUGCCAUUGAAACUGUUAGACUUGAGGACGAGAGAGGUGAGUGGAAUUCCCAGUGUAGAGGUGAAAUUCGUAGAUAUUGGGAAGAACACCGGUGGCGAAGGCGGCUCACUGGCUCGUAUCUGACGCUCAGGCGCGACAGCGUGGGGAUCGAAACAGG